rnacentral:rRNA from 1 species
GGAGUUAGCCGGUGCUUCUUCUGCGAGUAACGUCACAGAUGUAAGGUAUUAACUUACACCCUUUCCUCCUCGCUGAAAGUGCUUUACAACCCGAAGGCCUUCUUCACACACGCGGCAUGGCUGCAUCAGGGUUUCCCCCAUUGUGCAAUAUUCCCCACUGCUGCCUCCCGUAGGAGUCUGGGCCGUGUCUCAGUCCCAGUGUGGCUGAUCAUCCUCUCAGACCAGCUAGGGAUCGUCGCCUAGGUGAGCCUUUACCUCACCUACUAGCUAAUCCCACCUGGGCUUAUCCAUCAGCGCAAGGCCCGAAGGUCCCCUGCUUUCCCCCGUAGGGCGUAUGCGGUAUUAGCAGUCGUUUCCAACUGUUAUCCCCCACAAAUGGGCAAAUUCCCAGGCAUUACUCACCCGUCCGCCGCUCGUCAUCUUCAAAAGCAAGCUUUUGAAAUGUUACCGCUCGACUUGCAUGUGUUAGGCCUGCCGCCAGCGUUCAUCUGAACCAAGAUACAAUUACUGA